rnacentral:rRNA from 1 species
UACGUAGGAUGCAAGCGUUGUCCGGAUUUACUGGGCGUAAAGCGCGCGCAGGCGGCAUGGUAAGUUAGGUGUGAAAUCCAUCUGCUCAACGGGUGGGGUGCAUUUUAGACUGCCAAGCUUGAGGUCGGUAGAGGGGGGUAGAAUUGCUGGUGUAGCGGUGAAAUGCGUAGAGAUCAGCAGGAAUACCCGUGGCGAAGGCGGCCCCCUGGGCCGUACCUGACGCUGAGGCGCGAAGGCUAGGGGAGCGAACGGG